rnacentral:rRNA from 1 species
GAUGAACGCUGGCGGCGUGCCUAACACAUGCAAGUCGAGCGAACAGACGAGGAGCUCGCUCCUCUGCCGUUAGCGGCGGACGGGUGAGUAACACGUGGAUAACCUACCUAUAAGACUGGGGUAACUUCGGGAAACCGGAGCCAAUACCGGAGAAUAUAUUGAACCGCAUGGUUCAAUAGAGAAAGAGGGUUUUGCUGACACUUAUAGAUGGUUCCGCGCCGCAUUAGCUAGUUGGUAAGGUAACGGCUUACCAAGGCGACGAUGCGUAGCCGACCUGAGAGGGUGAUCGGCCACACUGGAACUGAGACACGGUCCAGACUCCUACGGGAGGCAGCAGUGGGGAAUAUUCGGCAAUGGGCGAAAGCCUGAUGGAGCAAUGCCGCGUGAGUGAUGAAGGUCUUCGGAUCGUAAAGCUCUGUUAUUAGGGAAGAACAGAUGUAUGUGAAUACCUGGACGUUUUGACGGUACCUAAACAAUAAGCACCGGCUAACUACGUG